AAAAGAACGCAAUCGUAUUUCAAAUGAAUAAUCACACUGAAAAGGGGGAAGAGAAAUCCAAAUAGUUUAUACAUAUGCAUCAGACCAUAUUCCAUUAGACUUAGGUAGGGUGUGAGUCGGGGAGGACUUAAAUACUAAACCCUUUUUACUGGCUUUGUUUUUGUAGCAGCAUGGACGCAGAAGAAUUCUGAAAUGAUUUUAGAUAUUUCACAGUAUUGAGCAAAUCAGUAAAUACAUCGAUGUUGUUGUGAGCCAGGGUUCUCACUGUGGAGAAAAAAAGUUGUAAAUAUAGAAAGAGAGAAGACAUGGAUGUAAGAAGAAUGGAUUGCAAUUGGAGGCUGCCAUGCUAUGAAGAAAUCUUGGUAGCAGUGGCCACACCUAACAGCCACACCUUGCUUUUGAAUGGAAUAUUCUAACUAGGCAGAGCAAGGGAUCCUUAGAAUGUUUCCAGGGCAGAGGCCUUAGUUUUGCAGAGAAAAUAUGCAAGAUAAGCCUGGAAUUUCUUUUUAAAAUUGAGGUGAAAUUCACAUAAUAAAACCAGUUAUGUUAAAGUGUAUAAUCCUGUGGCAUUUAGUACAUUCCCAAGGUGUGUAAGCACCUCUUCUAUUUAGUGAGAGCCUGAAAUGUCUUGUUAUUCCAGGAUGUAAGGAAGUGCACAAAACAUACCAGGGCCAUGUCAUGAGGACAGAGGAACCAGACUGGAGAGGCUUUCCCUGCCCAUGUCUGGUACAGCUUGAACAUCAAAAUAAUUAUUGGUAGUAACAAAUUAUAAACCAUUGGAAAAAAAAGUAUAUAGAAUCUAUUCUAUAUAUUAAAAAGCAUAGAAAUAAAUAAAUGUAUGAAAAGGAUGGCUCUUUUUACAGUAGAAUACUGUUAUAAACAGAAUCGUGUCCUCCUAAAAUUCAUAUGUUAAAGCUGUAACCCCUAAUGUGACUAUAUUUGGAGACAGAGCCUUUAAGGAGGAAAGUAAGGGUUAAAUGGAGUCAUUAGGGUAGGGCCCAAACCCACUAAAAAUAGUAACCUCAAAGGAAGAAGACUCACCUGGGGCAUAUACAGAGAAAGACCAGUGAGGACACAGCAAAAAAGCCGUCAUCCACAAAACUGAAGAGAGAGGUUUAAGAAAAACCUACCCUGCUGGCAUCUUGAUCUUGGAUGUCCAGCCUCUGAACUGAGAGAAAUAAAUGUCUGAUGCUGAAACCAUCCAGUAUGUGGUAUUUUGU
rnacentral:lncRNA from 1 species